ACACUUUUUAGAGAGAGAGUUAAGAGGACGUGGAAACGCUGAGGUGGUGAAAGAUAGAUAGCCACGUCUUUUGCCCGUUUUUUACCCCUCCCCGGGAGCGCUCGUGGAGCUGGCGGCCCCCGAAUUGGGCAAGUGUGGGAGUCUUCCUCCACGCCGAUAGUGGAUUUUCAGGUGGAAUGCGCCCAGAGGCUUCGAGCAACAAUGUGAACCCCGUUUUUAGGCCCCCUUUUUGGUUCCCGGACUUGGGGGGGGGGUGUUUUUUUUUAGGUUAAAAAAGGGCAUGGCUUACGGGCCCGAUUAUGGCCGAGCUGUGAGUCGGCGGCGGUCGCUUGCGACACGUGCUGUGCCAGCAGUUCGGUCCUGGUCGAGCUCCCACAGUGCCCAUUCUCGGUGUAAGAGCUGGUCAUCUCUCCGACCCGUCUUGAAACACGGACCAAGGAGUUUAUCGUGUGCGCGAGUCAUUGGGCGUUGAAAACCCAAAGGCGCAAUGAAAGUGAAGUGCCACGCAAGUGGCUGAUGUGCGAUGUGGUGUUCCAAGGCACACCUCCGCAGCAUGGCCCCAUCCUGGCUGCUUGCAGCGGGGUGGAGGAAGAGCGUGCGCGAUGAGACCCGAAAGAUGGUGAACUAUUCCUGAGCAGGAUGAAGCCAGAGGAAACUCUGGUGGAAGUCCGAAGCGAUUCUGACGUGCAAAUCGAUCGUC
rnacentral:rRNA from 1 species